rnacentral:rRNA from 1 species
AUCUUGCACAAUGGGGGCAACCCUGAUGCAGCGAUGCCGCGUGAGUGAAGAAGGCCUUCGGGUUGUAAAGCUCUUUCGACAGGGAAGAAGGGUUCUAUCUCGAACAGAAGUAGAAUUUGACGGUACCUGGAGAAGAAGCACCGGCUAACUCCGUUCCAGCAGCCGCGGUAAUACGGAGGGUGCUAGCGUUGUUCGGAAUUACUGGGCGUAAAGAGCACGUAGGCGGGCUCGUAAGUCGAUUGUGAAAGCCCCGGGCUCAAUCCGGGAAUUGCAGUCGAAACUACGAGUCUUGAAUGCCCAAGAGGGUGACGGAAUUCCUGGUGUAGAAGUGAAAUUCGUAGAUAUCAGGAGGAACACCGGAGGCGAAGGCGGUUGCCUGGUGGUGCAUUGACGCUGAGGUGCGAAAGCGUGGGGAGCAAACAGGA